rnacentral:rRNA from 1 species
AUUGAACGCUGGCGGCAGGCUUAACACAUGCAAGUCGAGCGGAGAGAGGUAGCUUGCUACUGAUCUUAGCGGCGGAGGGGUGAGUCAUGCUUAGCAAUCUGCCCAUUAGUGGCGGCCGACACUUCGAGCGGAAUGCUAAUACCGCAUACGUCCUACGGGAGAAAGCAGGGGAUAUUCGGACCUUGCGCUAAUAGAUGCGCCUAAGUCGGAUAAGCUAGUUGGUGGGGUAAAGGCCUACCAAGGCGACGAUCUGUAGCGGGUCUGAGAGGAUCAUCCGCCACACUGGGACUGAGCCACGGCCCAGACUCCUACGGGAGGCAGCAGUGGGGAAUAUUGGACAAUGGGCGCAAGCCUGAUCCAGCCAUGCCGCGUGUGUGAAGAAGGCCUUAUGGUUGUAAAACACUUUAAGCGAGGAGGAGGCUACUUUAGUUAAUACCUAGAGAUAGUGGACGUUACUCGCAGAAUAAGCACCGGCUAACUCUGUGCCAGCCGCCGCCGUAAUAC